GGCUGCGGUAUGCCCCUUUGAGCGUCAUUGUAUCCCUUCGGGAGUCCUUUUACAAGGACCCGAGCUCGGAGUCCUCGGUCCUCUCUGGAUCGUGUUCUCUCAGAUGCCUCGCRCCGAUCGCCUGAUGGGUCCUCUAAUGCCUAAGCGUGGAGUUCCUUCAGUCCGAGACGCGCUYGACCGGGUCYUGAGCCUGYGUCAUCAAGUCUGCCUAACCAGCGGUACUACAACGCAUGACCUCAUUGGGGUAGGACAACCCGCUAGACUUAAGCAUAUUAAUCAGCGGAGGAAAAGAAACUAACCAGGAUUCCCUCAGUAACUGCGAGUGAAGCGGGAUCGGCUCAAUGUGUGAAUCUGGCUUGGGGUACGUCCCGGGUCCGAGUUGUGCACUACGGAUGCUUCGUCUGCGUUUGUAAAGGCGGUGGAAGUCCGUUGAAACACGGCACCUCAGAGGGUCACAGUCCUGUACCACCUGCCUGCACUCGCGCCAAUGACAAGUGCUCCUCGAGUCGCGUAGUUUUGUAAUGCUGCGCCAAGUGGGAGGUAGAGACCUUCUAAGGCUAAAUAUGAUGACGUGACCGAUAGCACACAAGUACCGCGAGGGAAAGGUGAAAAGCAACCAUGAAAAAUGGGUUGAAACAGUAGUGAAAGCGCUACCGGGAUAAGGGCUAUCGGGUGCUGGGGCUCUUUGGGUGUGCUUUAGUGCUACCCUCGGAGACGGCCCGCGAGGGUUGAYGUUGGGGCGAUAGACGCGCYGCAGGAAUUCGGCUGCCUUC
rnacentral:rRNA from 1 species